UGCACAACACGGUUACCAACAGGGAU
rnacentral:piRNA from 1 species